GCGACCCCAGGUCAGGCGGGACUACCCGCUGAAUUUAAGCAUAUAAAUAAGCGGAGGAGAAGAAACUUACAAGGAUUCCCCUAGUAACGGCGAG
rnacentral:rRNA from 1 species